CCCGGCGAAAGUCGGACUAAUACCGCAUAAAACAGGGGCACCGCAUGGUGAUAUUUGUUAAAGAAAUUCGCUGAUAGAUGGGCAUGCGUUCCAUUAGGUAGUUGGUGAGGUAACGGCUCACCAAGCCGACGAUGGAUAGGGGAACUGAGAGGUUGGUCCCCCACACUGGUACUGAGACACGGACCAGACUCCUACGGGAGGCAGCAGUGAGGAAUAUUGGUCAAUGGGCGAGAGCCUGAACCAGCCAAGUCGCGUGAAGGAAGAAGGAUCUAUGGUUCGUAAACUUCUUUUGCAGGGGAAUAAAGUGCAGGACGUGUCCUGUUUUGUAUGUACCCUGAGAAUAAGGAUCGGCUAACUCCGUGCCAGCAGCCGCGGUAAUACGGAGGAUCCGAGCGUUAUCCGGAUUUAUUGGGUUUAAAGGGUGCGUAGGUGGUUUUAUAAGUCAGCGGUGAAAGUUUGCAGCUUAACUGUAAAAAUGCCGUUGAAACUGUAAGACUUGAGUGUAAAUGAGGUAGGCGGAAUGCGUGGUGUAGCGGUGAAAUGCAUAGAUAUCACGCAGAACUCCGAUUGCGAAGGCAGCUUACUAAGCUACGACUGACACUGAAGCACGAAAGCGUGGGGAUCAAACAGGAUUAGAUACCCUGGUAGUCCACGCAGUAAACGAUGAUUACUAGCUGUUUGCGAUACACAGUAAGCGGCACAGCGAAAGCGUUAAGUAAUCCACCUGGGGAGUACGCCGGCAACGGUGAAACUCAAAGGAAUUGACGGGGGCCCGCACAAGCGGAGGAACAUGUGGUUUAAUUCGAUGAUACGCGAGGAACCUUACCCGGGUUUGAACGUAGGGAGACAGGAGUGGAAACAUUCUUUUCAGCAAUGACUGCCUACGAGGUGCUGCAUGGUUGUCGUCAGCUCGUGCCGUGAGGUGUCGGCUUAAGUGCCAUAACGAGCGCAACCCUUAUUUUCAGUUACUAACAGGUGAUGCUGAGGACUCUGAAGAGACUGCCAGCGUAAGCUGUGAGGAAGGUGGGGAUGACGUCAAAUCAGCACGGCCCUUACAUCCGGGGCGACACACGUGUUACAAUGGUAAGGACAAAGGGCAGCUACCGGGCGACCGGAUGCGAAUCUCUAAACCUUAUCUCAGUUCGGAUCGGAGUCUGCAACUCGACUCCGUGAAGCUGGGUUCGCUAGUAAUCGCGCA
rnacentral:rRNA from 1 species